rnacentral:rRNA from 1 species
GAAACCAACAGGGAUUGCCUUAGUAACGGCGAGUGAAGCGGCAAAAGCUCAAAUUUGAAAUCUGGCACCUUCGGUGUCCGAGUUGUAAUUUGAAGAAGGUAACUUUGGAGUUGGCUCUUGUCUAUGUUCCUUGGAACAGGACGUCACAGAGGGUGAGAAUCCCGUGCGAUGAGAUGCCCAAUUCUAUGUAAAGUGCUUUCGAAGAGUCGAGUUGUUUGGGAAUGCAGCUCUAAGUGGGUGGUAAAUUCCAUCUAAAGCUAAAUAUUGGCGAGAGACCGAUAGCGAACAAGUACAGUGAUGGAAAGAUGAAAAGAACUUUGAAAAGAGAGUGAAAAAGUACGUGAAAUUGUUGAAAGGGAAGGGCUUGAGAUCAGACUUGGUAUUUUGCGAUCCUUUCCUUCUUGGUUGGGUUCCUCGCAGCUUACUGGGCCAGCAUCGGUUUGGAUGGUAGGAUAAUGACUAAGGAAUGUGGCUCUACUUCGGUGGAGUGUUAUAGCCUUGGUUGAUACUGCCUGUCUAGACCGAGGACUGCGUCUU